rnacentral:rRNA from 1 species
AGAGUUUGAUCCUGGCUCAGGACGAACGCUGGCGGCGUGCUUAACACAUGCAAGUCGAGCGAGGCCCACCUUUCGGGGUGGUGUCCUAGCGGCGAACGGGUGAGUAACACGUGGGCAACCUGCCCUCAGCUCUGGGAUAACUCCGGGAAACCGGGGCUAAUACCGGAUACGACUCUAAUGGGCAUCUGUUGGAGUGGAAAGUUUUUCGGCUGAGGAUGGGCCCGCGGCCUAUCAGCUUGUUGGUGGGGUGAUGGCCCACCAAGGCGACGACGGGUAGCCGGCCUGAGAGGGUGACCGGCCACACUGGGACUGAGACACGGCCCAGACUCCUACGGGAGGCAGCAGUGGGGAAUAUUGCGCAAUGGGCGGAAGCCUGACGCAGCGACGCCGCGUGAGGGACGAAGGCCUUCGGGUUGUAAACCUCUUUCAGCAGGGACGAAGCGAAAGUGACGGUACCUGCAGAAGAAGCACCGGCCAACUACGUGCCAGCAGCCGCGGUAAUACGUAGGGUGCAAGCGUUGUCCGGAAUUAUUGGGCGUAAAGAGCUCGUAGGCGGUCUGUUGCGUCGGCUGUGAAAACCCGAGGCUCAACCUCGGGCCUGCAGCCGAUACGGGCAGACUAGAGUUCGGCAGGGGAGACUGGAAUUCCUGGUGUAGCGGUGAAAUGCGCAGAUAUCAGGAGGAACACCGGUGGCGAAGGCGGGUCUCUGGGCCGAUACUGACGCUGAGGAGCGAAAGCGUGGGGAGCGAACAGGAUUAGAUACCCCAGUAGUCC